rnacentral:rRNA from 1 species
UUACGUGGAGGCAUUGGUGGGAUACUACCCUAAUUGUAUUGGAUUUCUAACCCGCAGCACUUAUCGUGCUGGGAGACAGUGUCAGGCGGGCAGUUUGACUGGGGCGGUCGCCUCCUAAAGAGUAACGGAGGCGCUCAAAGGUUCCCUCAGAAUGGUUGGAAAUCAUUCAUAGAGUGUAAAGGCAUAAGGGAGCUUGACUGCGAGACCUACAAGUCGAGCAGGGUCGAAAGACGGACUUAGUGAUCCGGUGGUUCCGCAUGGAAGGGCCAUCGCUCAACGGAUAAAAGCUACCCCGGGGAUAACAGGCUUAUCUCCCCCAAGAGUUCACAUCGACGGGGAGGUUUGGCACCUCGAUGUCGGCUCAUCGCAUCCUGGGGCUGUAGUCGGUCCCAAGGGUUGGGCUGUUCGCCCAUUAAAGCGGUACGCGAGCUGGGUUCAGAACGUCGUGAGACAGUUCGGUCCCUAUCCGUCGUGGGCGUAGGAAAUUUGAGAGGAGCUGUCCUUAGUACGAGAGGACCGGGAUGGACAUACCUCUGGUGUACCAGUUGUCGUGCCAACGGCAUAGCUGGGUAGCUAUGUAUGGACGGGAUAAGUGCUGAAAGCAUCUAAGCAUGAAGCCCCCCUCGAGAUGAGAUUUCCCAACUUCGGUUAUAAGAUCCCUCAAAGAUGAUGAGGUGAAU